rnacentral:rRNA from 1 species
GUAGGGAAUAUUGGACAAUGGGCGAAAGCCUGAUCCAGCCAUGCCGCGUGAUGGAUGAAGGCCCUCUGGGUUGUAAACAUCUUUUAUUAGGGAAGAAACAUCUCGUUUCUACGAGACUUGACGGUACCUGAUGAAUAAGCACCGGCUAACUCCGUGCCAGCAGCCGCGGUAAUACGGAGGGUGCAAGCGUUAUCCGGAUUUACUGGGUUUAAAGGGUGCGUAGGCGGGAAAAUAAGUCAGUGGUGAAAGCACCGGGCUCAACUCGGUAACUGCCAUUGAUACUGUUUUUCUUGAAUGCGAUUGAGGUAAGCGGAAUGUUGCAUGUAGCGGUGAAAUGCUUAGAUAUGUUACAGAACACCAAUUGUGAAGACAGCUUACUAAGUCGUGAUUGACGCUGAGGCACGAAAGCGUGGGGAGCAAACAGGAUUAGAUACCCCAGUAGUCC